GACGAACGCUGGCGGCGUGCUUAACACAUGCAAGUCGAACGGAAAGGCCCUGCGUUUGUGGGGUGCUCGAGUGGCGAACGGGUGAGUAACACGUGAGUAACCUGCCCUUGACUUUGGGAGAACUUCAGGAAACUGGGGCUAAUACCGGAUAGGAGCUCCUGCUGCAUGGUGGGGGUUGGAAAGUUUCGGCGGUUGGGGAUGGACUCGCGGCUUAUCAGCUUGUUGGUGGGGUAGUGGCUUACCAAGGCUUUGACGGGUAGCCGGCCUGAGAGGGUGACCGGCCACAUUGGGCCUGAGAUACGGCCCAGACUCCUACGGGAGGCAGAAGUGGGGAAUAUUGCACAAUGGGCGGAAGCCUGAUGCAGCAACGCCGCGUGCGGGAUGACGGCCUUCGGGUUGUAAACCGCUUUCGCCUGUGCCGAAGCGUGAGUGACGGUAAUGGGUAAAGAAGCACCGGCUAACUACGUG
rnacentral:rRNA from 1 species